CUCAAGUCAAAGUUUUGUGGAGAAACCACGAUGAUGAGGAAAUGACCUGGGAGUUAGAAUCUGAAUGAGAUCAGGUAUCCUCACCUCUUCAUCAUACUAGGUAUGUACCCUAAUUUCGAGGGUGAAAUUUCAUAAGAAGGGGAGGUUGUAAGACCCCAAUUUUUAUGAAUAAAGAUGAAUUUUCUAUAAAUGUCAUUUUUGAAUAUUAAGG
rnacentral:lncRNA from 1 species